rnacentral:rRNA from 1 species
AUUGAACGCUGGCGGCAGGCCUAACACAUGCAAGUCGAACGGUAACACGAUGAAGCUUUGUUCUUUGCGGACGAGUGGCGGGCGGGUGAGACGUGUCUAGCAAACUCUCUGAUUUAGGGGGAUAUCAGGUAGAAACAGUUACUAAUACAGCGUAACGUCUCCAGACCAGAAAGGGGGGGAUUCUGGCCUCUUGCGGGCGUGUAUGCGCAGAUGGUAUUCGCUAGUGGGGGGGGUAACGGCCCCCAUAGGCGACGAGCCGUAGCUGGUGUGAGAGGAUGAGCAGCGACACUGGAACUGAGACACGGUCCAGACUCCUACGGGAGGCAGCAGUGGGGAAUAUUGGACAAUGGGCGCAAGCCUGAUGCAGCCAUGCCGCGUGUAUGAAGAAGGCCUUCGGGUUGUAAAGUCCUUUUAGCGGGGAGGAAGGGCGUAAGGUUAAUACCUUGCCUCAUUGACGUUACCCGAAGAAGAAGCACCGGCUAACUACGUG